rnacentral:rRNA from 1 species
CAGCAGCCGCGGUAAUUCGUAGGUGGCAAGCGUUGUCCGGAAUUAUUGGGCGUAAAGGGCUCGCAGGCGGUUUCUUAAGUCUGAUGUGAAAGCCCCCGGCUCAACCGGGGAGGGUCAUUGGAAACUGGGAAACUUGAGUGCAGAAGAGGAGAGUGGAAUUCCACGUGUAGCGGUGAAAUGCGUAGAGAUGUGGAGGAACGCCAGUGGCGAAGGCGACUCUCUGGUCUGUAACUGACGCUGAGGAGCGAAAGCGUGGGGAGCGAACAGGAUUAGAUACCCCAGUAGUCCCUGUCUCUUAUAC